CAGUCGCCGCGGGAAUACGGAGGGUGCAAGCGUUACUCGGAAUCACUGGGCGUAAAGGACGCGUAGGCGGAUCAUCAAGUCUCUUGUGAAAUCUAACGGCUUAACCGUUAAACUGCUUGGGAAACUGAUAAUCUAGAGUAAGGGAGAGGCAGAUGGAAUUCUUGGUGUAGGGGUAAAAUCCGUAGAUAUCAAGAAGAAUACCUAUUGCGAAGGCGAUCUGCUGGAACUUAACUGACGCUAAUGCGUGAAAGCGUGGGGAGCAAAUGGGAUUAGAUACCCGGGUAGUCCCUGUCUCUUAUAC
rnacentral:rRNA from 1 species